GGACCUACGGGAGGCAGCAGUGAGGAAUAUUGGUCAAUGGACGCAAGUCUGAAGCAGCCAUGCCGCGUGCAGGAAGAAGGUGCUAUGCAUUGUAAACUGCUUUUAUACGGGGGUAAUUACAGAUACGUGUAUCUGGAUGUAAGUACCGUAUGAAUAAGGAUCGGCUAACUCCGUGCCAGCAGCCGCGGUAAUACGGAGGAUCCGAGCGUUAUCCGGCUUUAUUGGGUUUAAAGGGUGCGUAGGCGGUCAGGUAUGUUAGCGGUGAAAGCUCGAUGCUCAACAU
rnacentral:rRNA from 1 species